rnacentral:tRNA from 1 species
GCAUUGGUGGUUCAGUGGUAGAAUUCUCACCUUCCAUGUGGGUGACCUGGGUUCAAUUCCUGGUCAGUGUG